CACGUAGGGCGCAAGCGUUGUCCGGAAUUAUUGGGCGUAAAGAGCUCGUAGGCGGUCUGUUGCGUCUGCUGUGAAGACUCGGGGCUUAACCCCGAGCCUGCAGUGGAUACGGGCAGACUAGAGGUAGAUAGGGGAGAAUGGAAUUCCCGGUGUAGCGGUGAAAUGCGCAGAUAUCGGGAGGAACACCGGUGGCGAAGGCGGUUCUCUGGGCCUUACCUGACGCUGAGGAGCGAAAGCGUGGGGAGCGAACAGG
rnacentral:rRNA from 1 species